CGUGUCACAAAAUAUAUUAAAACGUAUUAUUAAUGAUAAUUAUUGUCGGAACAACAUGCAGAGGUAAUUUAAACGUUUCGUGAUUUCAAAAUAAUUGAUUAAUUACAAGCCAUUUAUGUGGCGUUAUAUAAAAGCACUAUAGACUUUCACGGUAUUACAAUAAAGAUUAAUAUCUGCGAAGUUUCGCGUAUCUUCCAUGUAAUUUUCACACGUAAGAAAAUGGUGGCUUACAUCACCGACGCACGCACGUCGAGUAAUGUUAAUACGCAAAAGUGUGAUUAUAAGAGAGAGAGAGAGAGAGAGAGACAAGGAGAAAGGAGUGAGAGAUGGAUUUUCCACCUGCAAAAGAAUAAUAUACCGGACAAUGUAAAUUACACCGCGGUAACAAAAAUGCAGGCAACGAUGGAGCGAUUAAGCAAUUUUAGCGGGCGGUAACCCCGCGAGGCACGGAACAAUCACUAUAAGAACGUGACACAGCUGUCACUCGAAUCAUUUACAUACUUUUACAUACGUUAUGAGAAUGCCAGACGCAUUACUGCAACUUGCUUCUUUGUAGCACAAGCAGAGUGACUGCAUUGUUAUCGUCAUCGCCAUGCAUUAUUUUCGCGUCACUCUUUUCGUUCGUCAAGCAUAAAAUACACGUUAUGUAAAGCAACAUGAACAAAUUCGCAGCACUUCUGCUUUCUACCUGAGCAUUUCUUUAUAAUCGAUCAUACAACUUAAUAAAAUUAAUUUUAAACAAAUUAAUGCAUCGUCGCAGCCCUUGAUUUCUAACCCCGUUACUAGCAACUCUGUCGCCAUCAAUUUUAUACUUUCGUCGUAAUAUCGUCAGAAUGAGAUAACAAGCAGACAUCGUUAAUAACCGAGUGGUAUAUCAUACCCAUAACGCGGUAUGAUAAUACGAUUUCGAACGAUAAUUCCGACAAGUUAGCCACACAAACUAAUUCUCAGGGUGACAUUAAUGACGUUUCGCGUUUAUCGUGCCAGUCGUUCACCUGGCUGAGUAUUCGUGCGUAUUAUUGCGUAUCGUACUUAGGCAGCUCGGCGUAAUUGUAAUCACGCUAAUGCAUCUUGUUGUGGCACGUCCCGACGCGAUGCAUUGCGUUGCAACCAUAUCGUCUACGGUACGUGCGCUGGAUGACAACGAGACGCUUUCGAGAUCGUUUCACGCGAUAAUGAUAGCGUGCUGCACAUGCACCCAGACAAUAGAUGGAUGUGCAAGAGUGAUCAAUAGGUCAAUACAAGAGAAAAUUAGCCACUCGCCCGUUCCUCUUUUUUUUCCCCCCAGUGUUUAGCGGUGCGUUUUACAUUGGAAUUAUUUCCUUGGACACAUCUAAUAUAUGCGCAUAAUUUAAGACCGUUAUUAAUGUACGUACUGAAAGUAAUACUAAUGUAUGACAUACUCUUUUUUUUUUUCUUCUUAUUUUGAUUAAUCUUAUCUCUCCGCCUAAGGCACAGCGUGUCACGCGAGCGCCGAACGCACGCGUACCAUUCGCAUAAUUUAAAAUUUAUCAUCUCCUAAUGCAAUAUCAAGAUUGAUUGUUUACAUUAUUUUGAGCGCGCGGACAAGCAUUUGCCUCGUAACAGAAAUGUUCUCUUUAUGUCGCCAUUAUCACAAUCAGCGACACAAAUGACGCAUCUUCCAUUACGCAUUUUCGCGCGGCAAAAAAAAGGAGGGGGGGAGAGGAGGGGUAGAAACUCUUUCUCGUGAAUGUGUGAACUCGCGCUCUGAUUAAACACGAUUCGAUAAGUCCAUAACGUUGUGCUCCAAUCGGCAUAUUAUUGUACGUUACAUUUAAACGCAGCGAUCGGCGCAAGAUCUCGCGAUAGAACGUGUAAUUUUACUUUUAAUCAUUAUCGCGCGUAACGAGGCGCGUCAAGUUUAGGCGCAGCAAUAAUAGCGCAGCAAAAUAGAGAGCCGCGGUUCAAGCGGCGUACUUCGUAAUCAUCGUCAUCAUCCAGAGGGUGGAGGGGGGCCAGCUUAUUAUUAUCGUUAUCUUCGCGCUCGCCACGGAGCGCGGAUAGCCAGGAGGGGAAUUAAGGUAGAAAUAUACACACACGCUGCGACGGGCAAAAGUAAAAAGGCGCCUCGAAAUAUCAGGCGCGCGCGCGAGCUUUGAAACAACGUGUUACACAGGCGCCAUAAUCUUCUCACUGGCUUAUGUCUUAUUGUCUUUCAUCGAACAAAGGCAGAAAUUAAUAAUCACGGGACAGAACAAUGCACGUGACCCGUCGUGUGCAUCCGCGAUGCGUAACGAGACGCGCGGAGCUAAACCGGGAAUAACAACGCUGAAUCAGACAACGUUGUAUCAUCGCGCGCGCGCGCGUCGGCUUUAUUUCUUUUGUUAUCGUUACGAGACUUUUUCUUAUCGCUAACUUUUAUACGACUCGACUGAGAAACCCCGACAACGAAAGGUAUCCGAGGUUUGAUAAGAACGAUGGAAAAAAACGUGUCUUCAAUGUUAACUUUUCAUCUUAUGCAAUUUAAUUAGCCACCAAAAAUAUAAAUAGAAUUUUUUAUAAAGGAUGUUAACUGACAAGAGUUAUUAUUAUCCAUCAACGAGAUAUAUUCUACAGCGAGAUAUUUAUCGCUAAAACUAAGAUGAUCAUUCUAAUAUUUAAUUUGUUUCUCCGGUGUACAAAAAAAGGGGAAUGUUUAAAGAGUGACACGAUGCCUUUAGGAUGUCGCGCUGUACUGCGACAUUUAUGAAAUAACAACACCGAGAUAUACACGCGAUUAAAUACAAUCGCGAUCACCGCGCUUCUUCAUUGCCUUGCUCAUUAUCAUUAUCAUUCUCACGCCUACCUAGCGAUAACGGCGAAGCCCGAGGAAAGCUAAGAGCAGCCGCGAAUGAAGUCAUCUUCGCUGAUGCAUCGAUGGUUAUCCCGGCAGCGGCUUCCUUAAGCUUGACUCAAUCUGUUUAUCGUAUUACCUGGCGCACCCACACAUCGGGAGAAGGACUACGCUAGAAAAGCCGGACGGAAAAAAAAUGAGAUUCAACGACGCGUGAACAAAUUGCAUUGUUACCCCGAUAAGUCCACAAUCUCGAAUCGGAUCUAAAAUCGAGCACUACGAUAGAUCAAUCCAAUUGUUCGUACUUGGCAAACAAGCACCCGUUGCUCAUAUUUUAAAAGAGAAAGAGACUAAUCAUGUUGUCUUUAGAAACAUAUGUAAUUCGAAUUUUAACACAGAAAAGAAAAUAUAUCAACGUUAUGCUAGCGUAAAGUAUAUUUACAGACAAAUAAUCCACUCUCCCUUUCUCAAUGCCUAAAAAUAGAUAAACAAUAGAUUAAGUUAUUUUAGUAAAUGAUAAUUUCUUUAAAAUGUACAUUGUAUCUUCUUUGUACAUUGGGUAGAUUAUAAAAAUUUACGACCUACAGAGAAUAGACGUUGUGACAAAUAUAUUUAUGUUAUAAUGUAACAAACACUUGGAAAAUAUAUUACUUUUUAUUAAUAACUACUAAAUGUAUUAAUAAGAGAUGGAUCUAUCAUUUGGUUUUAACACAAAUUUCAGCCUUGUUAGGAACAAGGUUGAUACAAUACAUAAAUAGUCACCCGUACAAUGUUAUAUAAUUCUUCUAGCUAGCAAAACACCUUUCGAGAGAUAUUGGAGAAUGCUUAAGAAAUAUUGGAAAAGAAAGUUUGCCCUUUAAAACCGUUCGCAAAGAUGUUCAUUCUAUAAUAUUUAAGCCAGGCGGUUACAUUAACUGGAAAAAAAUGCUAAAGUUUUGAAGAAUAAAAGGCGAAACAAUAUGAGAAGCAAAUUUCUUCCCCCAACAUCUCUAAUUUAAUCAAUUGAAAGAUAUUCUUUUCUAAUGAAAUAGUACAACAUUUUCUAUCGAUGACUAAUCAAGCAUUGUGCGAAUUUAUUCUAACAAGAACAGAAUUUACAUUAAAGAUAAAUUAAUCUCUUGUUUUAACAAUCCUUCAUUUUAAUAAGGAAGAACAAUGUAUCUCCCUGAUGUCCACAUUAUUUCGUCCAUCCCCCUGUACAUGAUAAUAAACGCUUCUAAGAAUACGCGACAGGAAAAAAAGGUUGAUGUUAUAAAUGACGUCAAACAAGACAAUUAUAUUAACAGUCGCGUCUCGAAAGGUCUAAUAUGCAUAGGCGAAACUAUAUAUGCUCUUUGGUACCUAACAAAGAUCACAUCUGCCGAUCGCUAAUGUUAAGAGCAUGUCUCGCUGAAACUAGCAUAAUAUAUUACCGCUAAUAACAGCAUUUGCCGCGGCGAUUAUUAUUCAUAAAGCGCGAAACAUCAUUCGCGCUGUUUUUCGCCCACACGGCCGAUGAAUUUAUCACGGGAUAAGACGCACAUUCGUCUUAUCCGCGCCGUCCUACGUAACUGCGAGCACAGUAUAUCAGCGUCCUGAGGUAUCGACGUUUUUCCUUCCCGACGUCCAGGUCAAUGAUGCGCACGCAUUUUUAUCUCCUGCGGCUAGUUAUGGCCCCGGCCCGGUAUAAUAGCGGUUUUAACUACAUUCACAAAGUGGCGUAAUUUAUUGCGCCAUUAUACUCAGCUAAGGAGCUGCUUGUUGCGAACGACGACGGGCCGCGGUGAGGCGCGUGCACGCGGACGUGAUUUAAGAAAAGUAGGCGCGAUGGCUGACGAUUGUAUUCGCCAUCUACUACGAUUUUCUCCCACUACAACCGCUUUCUGUCCUCCUACUCUGAUGCCAGUUGAGCCACCUCUUCCUGAAAAAGUGUACCAUCACCGACCAUUGGGUGCAACUGAAAUCAAGGCUACCGAUUGGACGGCCUCUAACGCUCGCCUAGGAAUGCUGCGACCUCGUGCAACGAAUGCAACGCGCGACACACGUGUAGAGAUGCAGAUUAACGUAAUCUCCGUGAGCUGUACGUUAUCGGGUCGAGAUCGACGACGCCUUCGAAUUGCUCCACGCGAAGGAUUUAUGUUAAUUCUAAGUAACCUUCGCAGAAAUUAAUCGGUUUGCAUAACGCUUAAAGAUUCUUCCCCGGGCGAGAGGGAGCCUUCAAUGUUCCAGUCAAAGUUAUUCGAGAUAUGAGGAAGCAUUUGGAGCCUGAGCCGACGGGGGACGAUAGGAAUGAGCGGUUGAUGAAGAGAAAGGUGGAGGGCCGUUAAAGCUAUAUACGUAGGGAAAGAAAACGGGUAAGAGACAACCGCGAAAAAGACCGGCAAGUGGAAUGUCAGUUAAUUUGUAGCCAAGUCUAGUCCAUGCCAUAAUCUGCGCAUGUAUCAUACUCUUUUAUACGCGCCGAGACACACGUUGCCGAUCAGUAUGUCGCGUGCAAGUACACCAAUGUGCAUUACAAAACGCACAUUAUGAAUUACUAUCAUUAUUUAUUAUCAAAAACAAUUUUCACGUGAUAUAAAAAUUUUAUUAUAAAUAUUACAGUAUUUAGACUAGAUGCUACAAAUCAACAUGCUACAAAUUUGGUAGUAUAUUAUAUAUAUAUUUAUUUAUUUAUUGAUGUAAAGAAGCUGUUUUGAUAUAAAAUAAAAAUAUUAAUAAUGCGACGUUUGCGAUUAUCGUCCAAUCAUUGAUAGAUGAAAUAAAUGUCCACCAAGUACAAUGGACUAUUUGAUAAAGAGGAAAAGAAAUCGAUCAAUUGCAUUCCACUUAUGUGAGCAAGUCACUAAGCGAAAGCUGCACAAGCUUUUACCGGUAGCGUUCAGAACAUCGGUACACAAGUCGUGUCUUAGCUAUGGCAGGUAUUUACUACUGGACACCGAGAAUACUUUACUACGUUCGCGUUCUUCGUUGCAUCAACGCCGUUUUGUCCAGAAAAUCGCGGAAUGUAUGAGAUCUUUGAGACGUGAUGUGAGAACAGAAAGUGCUUGAAAAACAUUUGCUUGAUUACGUGAGUAAAUACGCAAAGAGAAAUAAUUACAUCAUAUGGUUGCCCAUGUUUUACACUCUAAAAAUUACAUACUUGUGUUUUCGCGCGAUUUUAAUAUCUUGAUGGAAGAAAAUAAAAAAUUUGCCAAAUGCGUAAAACAACGUGGGGUAUACAGACCGGACGGUACUCACAAUCCCGUAAUACUUUAUCGUUCAGAGAUAAAAACUACUCUACGUAAAACCGAACGCCCGGAGGGCUUCCUUCUUUUGCUCGACACUCUCGCAUAAGCAGGCGAUUCAAGUGCCGCUCCGUGCAGAAAGAGAGAAAGAGCUACGAAACGUGAAACAGAGCACAAAAAGAACAAUCCGCGAGGUGGAUGAGAAGAGCACAUAAGGAAGCCGAGUUUACGAGAUGAUUGUCCUACGGACCCUAUUCAUUCGACAUGGAAUCUCCAGGUGAAUCUCUAUUGUAGAUUAUUGCGCCAUUGUCCAUUGUCGCAAUCCGCCACAACUGGUCUCCUUAGAUCUCUUUGACAUAAGUAGAAAAAGUUUGACAAGGAUAAAAAAAACAGCGGUGUCAUUGAUGAAGACACUCAAAAUAAUUAAAAUUAUUUAAAAACCAAAGAAAAGUGCAGUCUGCAUUAAUUCAAUAUAUAAUCGGCAUUCUACCUUAGGUUCAAAUUAAUGUUUCUUUCCAUGAAUAAAAAUUUUUUUCAAACAAAAGUAUUAAACCAAAUCGAGCAAAACAAUAAAAUGCACAAAUUUCGAACGUUAACAUUUUUCAGAAUUAUAAUGAAUGUUCUUUUAUAUUGUAACCAAAAAUAUCAGAAAUACACUGAACCAAAACUAGACAUAUAUAUAUAUAAAUUCCAAAGAAAUAUUCAUUCUACUAAUAAAAAAUUUAUUAAAAUUGGUCCAAUGAAUUAUUUUAUUAACAUGAUGUUGUAACAAAGAAUAAUUCGUUAUAUUAAUAAAUUUAUUUAUGGUUAAAAGGUUCAAUAUAAUAUUUAUGCUAUUAAUAAAAAGUUUAUUAUCAAUGAAUUUUAGUCAAUAAACGUCAUACAUUGAUACUAUAAAGAAUAUUUUUUUCAGUGUACGUAAGUUAAUUUGUUGCUCGAUUCAACAUCUAGGCGAAAAGCCUUAAUCACGUCUCAAUUUCAAUUAUUUUCCAAUUUGAGAGCAAAAUCGACGGGGAUGUGAAAAUUAACGGCAAUUAACGGCAAUUCACGUGCCUCCCACGUUGGGCGGUCGGGCGAAAAAAGUGCAGGUUGCACGCGACACAAACGCGGGCAAUGGAAGUUUUACUUGUCCUGCGGGACAAACGUCGAUGGAAAUCGAAUGAUGCGGAACAGGCACCUGCGUGGGUACAUGCAAUUACGUAUGGAUAACUUCGGCGAAAAAGCAGCCGAUGCGAUCGCACACACCGACUCCGAUCUUAUCGACACGAUGUCGCGCGCAUUGCCGAAGGUUCUAGGCCCAGUAUGACGGUGCAAUUAUCAAUAAUUGAGAAAUUUUUUUUCAAGUGUAUUUCAAUAUAACGAGCCGACGCGCACAUUAAUUUGAUAUUAUAAGCACUGUCCCAAGAUUCCCGUUAUUACAUUGCCGUAAGACCAUUAACCUCUUUUCGCGAUACGCAAUUUAUGUUUUUCCCUCUCUUUUUUUUUUAAAUUAUACUCCGCAAAUUUCGAAGACAAGUGUAAUUCGGGCCAUAUGCGCGUUUCAAGAUGCCCACAGGUUUUUUGAACCGUGUAAAUCGUCAGAUGUGCAAUCUCACUUUAAUUACUCAUUUUAAUUAUUCAAAUUAAUUAAGCGAAGAUUAAUUGAUAUACAUAUUAUAUAUAAAAAGUAUUAACAGUAUACGUUUGUAACAUUAUCAAAUUAAAGUAAUUAUGCACAAAUAUUAAAAAACGUUAUAUAAUUGCUGAAAGUAAUGACAAAAUUUGCUUAUCAUUCCAAUUAAAUUUAAUAUUCAUAAAUUUUAAUAUAUACUCUUAAAAAUAAUUUAAAAUUAUAAAUAUAUAAGCAAAAGACAAUAUGUAUAUGUAACCUCGAUUUUUAAGUUUGUUUUUGAUACUUUGUUAUUAUUAUUGUUAUAUUUAUUAUAAAUACAUCAAUAAUUGUGUGUGAGUAUGUGUACAUGUAAUAAAAUUAUAUUAAUAUUUUUUAUAGUUAGAAAUUUUUAUUUUAACCUAAAAAGUAUUCUAAUAAUUUCUAAUAACUUGAAUAAUUUAUAAUAAUCUUAAUAGAAUAUUACUUAAUUCGGUUUUUCUAAAAGAAGAAAAAGAGUAAUAAUAAUAAACUUUACUUGAUUAGUUUGCUAAUACUCUUAUUGUUCUAAAAAAAAAAACCAAA